GGACCAAUGAUGGGAAUAUGUUAUAAAUCAAAAAUUGUGCUUAAUCUAUUUCAGCACAACUGACAUG
rnacentral:snoRNA from 1 species